rnacentral:lncRNA from 10 species
CGGGGGGGAGGGGCGGCGAGGCGAGGCCUGCGGAGCGGAGGAAGACAAACAUAAAGAUGAAGUGCUUAAUUCAAGGUCACACAAUGUCGGGGAUGGACCUCCAGAUUUCCUUACUGACCUGCAUUAUCUUGUGGAUACCUGAGUGAAUUCCACACCACCCAUUUUAUAGAUGAAACCACUGAGACAUGGAGCAAUUGACUGAGUAGUCACUGCCCCACCCCUGCCUGGAGCCUCACACAUGACUCGCCUCCUCUCAGUGACCACAGGUUGGUUGAGGGGUUUAACAAGGCUAAGAAGGUGAGACGUGGUCUUGUAACACAGUGGUUAAGAAUGUGACUUUGGAGCCAGCCUGCUAGGGGCUGAAUUCUGACUCAGCCAUUUACUAACUGUGUGACCUUAGGUGGAGUCUCACUCUGUAGCCCAAGCUGGAGUGGCGUGAUCUCGACUCACUGCAACCUCCGCCUCCUGGGAUCAAGUGAUUCUCGUGCCUCAGCCUCCUGAGUAGCCGGGACUACAGGUCACAGAAUUUUCCACACUCCUUGACAGAGGUGCUUAACCCUUAUCCAUCAGCAUUCUCAGACAGCACCUCCGGUUAGGGACAGUAUCUGACCGUCCGACAUCCCUGCAGCCCCCAUGUGUCACACAGACUCAGCCUCAGGUAGAUGGUUUCCGUAGAUGGUGGCUUUCUUUGGACCCUUGACAUCAACCAGUUACUAUUUGCUCAGCAAGGCCCACAUUUUCCCGGUGAAGCCACAGAACCACAGGGAGAAACCCAUGGACUUCGCCUCUCUCUCUAGGGGACCAGAUGUGCAGAGGUAAUGAAUACCAGGGAAUCAGGAAACCACUGGAUC